GAUUUACUGAAGCAUUUUAUUGUUUAGCUAGCUAGCUACCAACAACAUUUACAAAUAGCUCUACUUCCCAGACCUAACUUUUAUGGCAUAAUGCUGGAUCAUUAUUUUUGACAAACUUGGAGUCACAGGUGAAUAAAGGGACUGUUACAGGGCCACUAUGAGCCAAGCUGGGGAGAGACCAACCCUCCCAGUGGAGGAGGUGAGGAGGAGACUACUCCCUAUCAGCCCUGGCUCCUGAUGCUGCCCUACAGGAGGAGAGCUGGCCCUGGGCCACACUCACGUCUCUGCAGCCAGCCUUCCAGUGCUUAGACCAGCUGUUCUCUACUGGGAAGAUCAGCGGGACCAAAGCAGCAAGCUCAAAGCCAGUUUCAGCCUGCUCCAUGACACCUUGAAA